UGUGUGUUUGUGUGUGUGCAUGUGUGCAUACAUGCAUGUGUGUCUGUGUGCAUCUGUGUGCACAUGCACAGUGAAAUGCCAUCUCAAGAACAUGACCAGGCCAUUGCACUCAUAAAUUCACAGAAACUUGUGACAAGGUUUGCAGUAAGGCAUGGACUCCCUCCUUUGAACCAGCUUUUCUUUUUCACAUGAGUUCUAGAGAUCAAAGUCGGCUCUUUGUGCUUCUGAGAAACCUAGGUGCUCUUUUCAGGAAGCAAAGUCUCCCGAAAAGCAUUGUCUUGAGACGGUUCCUCUUCAAAAGCCAGAGCCCACGUUUGAGAUGAUUUCCUCAGUCAAGGUCUCAUUAUGUAGCCCUGCCUGGCCUAAAAUCCUUCCUCUACUCCCAUCCCUCUGUGUGUGUGUGUGUGUGUGUGUGUGUGUGUGUGUGUGUGUGCCACAAAGCUAGCCUCUAAGAAGUCAGAGGACAACUUAGAUGCCAGGCUUGAGUAGUGAGUGCCUUUACCUAUUGCGUCCUGCUCGACCGGCAAGAAAGACGCAACAAACCAGAAUCUUCUGCGGCAAAAGCUUUAUUGCUUGCUUCUCAGGAAGA